rnacentral:siRNA from 1 species
UGUGGUGAAAUAAGAAGCU